rnacentral:rRNA from 1 species
CAGCCGCCACGGUAAUACGGAGGGGGCUAGCGUUGUUCGGAAUUACUGGGCGUAAAGCGCACGUAGGCGGCUUUGUAAGUCAGAGGUGAAAGCCUGGAGCUCAACUCCAGAAUUGCCUUUGAGACUGCAUCGCUUGAACGUCGGAGAGGUGAGUGGAAUUCCGAGUGUAGAGGUGAAAUUCGUAGAUAUUCGGAAGAACACCAGUGGCGAAGGCGGCUCACUGGACGACUGUUGACGCUGAGGUGCGAAAGCGUGGGGAGCAAACAGGAUUAGAGACCCCUGUAGUCCCUGUCUCUUAUAC